rnacentral:lncRNA from 1 species
UCAUUCAUUAUAUUUUUAUGUUUGACAAGACCUUCGGACUUGUGCCUACGUACCAACAUAAAAAUGAGGGAUCAAAACCUCGUAGUUUGUGAUACAAAUUUCAAAGUGGAUGCGUUGCUUUAAACAAAAAUUAGGUUUGAAAGGCACAAAGGCCUAGAAAAUGGUUAGAAUGAGUUAGUUCUUUUUGGCUUUUAAAAAUUUUAAGUCAUGUAUAAUUAAGUUUAUUUACAAGUUUGAUUUAAGAAAAG